rnacentral:rRNA from 1 species
GAUGAACGCUGGCGGCGUGCCUAAUACAUGCAAGUCGAGCGAACGGACGAGAAGCUUGCUUUUCUGAUGUUAGCGGCGGACGGGUGAGUAACACGUGGAUAACCUACCUAUAAGACUGGGAUAACUUCGGGAAACCGGAGCUAAUACCGGAUAAUAUUUUGAACCGCAUGGUUCAAAAGUGAAAGACGGUCUUGGUGUCACUUAUAGAUGGAUCCGCGCUGCAUUAGCUAGUUGGUAAGGUAACGGCUUACCAAGGCAACGAUGCGUAGCCGACCUGAGAGGGUGAUCGGCCACCCUGGAACUGAGACACGGUCCAGACUCCUACGGGACGCAGCAGUAGGGAAUCUUCCGCAAUAGGCGAAAGCCUGACGGAACAACGCCGCGUGAGUGAUGAAGGUCUUCGGAUCGUAAAACUCUCUUAUUAGGGAAGAACAUCUGUGUAAGUAACUGUGCACAUCUUGACGGUACCUAAUCAGAAAGCCACGGCUAACUACGUG